rnacentral:rRNA from 1 species
AUGUAUCCGUGCAACUGGACCGGCGUCACCUGCGGCGACACUCGGUCACGCCGAGGAACCAUGGUGAAGGUCAUCAGUGGAAUCUCGCUCGGCGGUGCCGGCAUUGCAGGGCGGCUGGACGCCCUGAGUUUCCAGUCACUCCCUUACCUCGUCAACCUCGACCUCAGCGACAACUACCAUCUCUCCGGUGCCAUCCCUCCAGGCAUCGGCUCUCUUUCCAUGCUUUCCACCCUCAACUUCUCUGGUGAUCAGCUCGUCGGGCACAUACCUGCAUCAAUCUGCAAUCUUGGGAGGCUUGUAGAAAUGGACCUCUCCAGCAACAAUCUCACUGGCCAAAUUCCUCCUGCCUUGGGCAAUCUUUCAGUAAUUGCUGUUCUCUAUCUAAAUGGGAAUAGGCUAUCAGGCAAUAUCCCAUGGCACUUCGGACAGUUUCAGAACAUGAGGGAGAUGGAUUUGAGCUGGAAUAUCCUUUCUGGCCAAAUACCUUCCGCCCUUGGGAACUUGACAAAUCUCAACGCUCUUAGCCUUUCUGAUAAUCGUCUCUCGGGACCCAUACCUGAAGAGUUAGGACAAAUCCAAAGCCUGCAAAUACUAUACAUGCAAAAAAACAACCUGGAUGGCAUAAUUCCGCCCUCCCUUGGAAACCUCACAUUGCUCAUAUACCUGACGACAUAUCGGAACCAACACACUGGUCCAAUCCCGGUAGAGCUUGGGACGCUCUCGAGCUUGAUUUUGUUGGACUUGUCAAACAACCAUUUAUCCGGUUCAAUUCCUUCUAGUGUUGCUGGAAAUCUUACUUCAUUGACCUAUUUCGCUAUUUCGCGUAACCAAAUAACUGGAUCCAUCCCUCACGAGUUCGGAAAUCUCAUGAAUCUGGAAACCCUCGACCUCUCGGUCAAUUUCAUAGUUGGAUCAAUUCCGUCAAGUAUUGGGAACAUGUCAACACUUAGCCGAAUUGACCUACAUAGCAAUAACCUCUCCAGGGAACUGCCGUUCGAGUUAGGAAAUUUGGCAAAUUUGGAAUCUUUUUCAUCCCCCAUAAACCAAUUGUCUGGCUCAAUCCCUCAAAGUAUCGGAAAACUGACGAGAAUGAAAGAAAUGAGACUAUUCACCAACCACCUCACUGGUCAUUUGCCUUCAUCACUAUCCAACCUUACCAAUUUGGUCGACUUUGAACUCGGUGACAACCAGCUAAUCGGACAGUUGCCAGAGUUAUGCCAAAGUAAAACGCUACAAUUUUUCUCAAUUUCUAAAAACAAUAUUGAUGGUCCUAUCCCAAAAGGCUUGAGGGAUUGCAGUUCACUAACAAGCCUCGGAAUAAAAAAUAAUCAGAUCGAGGGAGACAUAAGUGAAGCAUUUGGGGUAUAUCCACACCUCAAUAUCAUUAGUUUAUUUUCAAACAGGUUUGUAGGCCGGCUUUCGCCAAAAUGGGGCUCGUGUCAAAACUUGACAAGUAUUGAUUUUUCAAACAACAUGAUAGAAGGUAGUAUACCUUCUGAGAUGGGGAAGCUAAAAAAUCUUGCAAUUCUAAAUCUGGGUUUCAAUAGGUUGACCGGUGAGAUACCACCAGAAAUUGGCAAGCUAACUAGCAUGUAUUGGAUGGAUUUAAGAAACAAUCAACUAUCUGGCCAGAUCCCCAAGAAAAUCGGCCAACUUGGCAAUCUGGAGCUUCUUGAUUUCUCAAACAACCUGUUGAGUGGUAAAAUACCAGAAGAGAUUGGGAACUGUUUGAAACUGCAGGCGUUACAGAUGAAUAAGAACAACCUUAGUGGAACUCUUCCUGGUAGUUUGGGUCAUUUAGCUUCCCUGCAAGGAAUGCUUGAUCUUAGUAUGAAUAGUCUCAGUGGACCAAUACCAUCGGAACUAAGCAAACUGGAGAUGCUGAUCUUUGUAAACUUCUCGCACAAUCAAUUCAGUGGUGUCAUCCCUGUCUCCAUUGCAAGCAUGAAAAGCCUAUCAAUAUUUGAUGUAUCAUACAACUUCCUAGAAGGCUCUAUCCCACAAGGGAUCCAAAAUGCAUCAAGUGACUGGUUUCUCCACAACAAAGGUCUUUGUGGAGAUCUUAUUGGCCUAUCUCCUUGUGAUUUGCCUACCGCGGAUCAUAGACGAAAGCAUCAGAAAUUUAUACUAUCAAUCGGUCUUCCUAUGUUUAUCGCUACUAUCUCAAUAGCAGCGAGUGUAAUUGCCCUCCUGAUUUGCCGCAAGAAAGGAUCUAAAAAAACCGACUUUAUGAGCAAAAAGGAUGUAUUCUCUGUAUGGAGCUUUGAUGGUAGAAUGGCAUUUGAAGAUAUUAUUGGUGCAACUGACAAUUUUGAUGAGAAGCAUUGCAUUGGAGAGGGAUCGUAUGGCCGUGUUUAUAAAGCACAACUUCAAGAUGAACAAGUGGUUGCAGUAAAGAAACUCCAUGCAGGUGAUGAAGAGGCACAUGAUGAAGAAAGAUUCCAGCAUGAGAUUGAAAUGUUAACAAAAGUUCGUCAACGCAGCAUCGUCAAGUUGUAUGGCUAUUGUUCUCAUCCACGGUACAGGUUCUUUGUAUGCCAAUUCAUAGAGAGAGGAAAUCUAGCUUCUAUCUUAAGCAAUGAAGAACUAGCAUCCCAGUUCCACUGGGAAAGGAGGAUAGCUCUAAUAAGAGAUGUGGCUCAAGCCAUCACUUACCUCCAUCAUGAUGUUCACCCACCCAUAAUUCAUAGGGACAUCACAAGCAGAAACAUCUUAUUAGAUGUUGACUACAAAGCAUUUGUCUCGGAUUUUGGUAUUGCAAGAAUGUUAAAACCCGAUUCAUCGAAUUGGAGCGCACUAGCGGGGACCUAUGGCUACAUUGCACCUGAAUGUUCAUACACUUCUCUAGUCACGGAGAAAUGUGAUGUAUAUAGCUUUGGUAUUGUGGUGCUUGAGGUGUUGAUGGGCAAACACCCUGGAGAUUUGCAGGCUUUUCAUUCUUCACUCGAGGACCAGUUUCUACUGGAAGAAAUUUUGGACAAACGACUUCCACAACCCGAAGCUGGGGAGGAAGAAGUGAGACGGUGCAUCUCUGUGGCAUUUGAGUGCCUAACUCCUUCACCCAAAGAAAGGCCAACUAUGCUGAAAGUUUAUCGAGAUGUUUCCAUCUGA